rnacentral:rRNA from 1 species
CGCGUAGGCGGGAAUGCAAGUCAGAUGUGAAAUCCAAGGGCUCAACCCUUGAACUGCAUUUGAAACUGUAUUUCUUGAGUGUCGGAGAGGUUGACGGAAUUCCUAGUGUAGCGGUGAAAUGCGUAGAUAUUAGGAGGAACACCAGUGGCGAAGGCGGCUUACUGGACGGUAACUGACGUUGAGGCUCGAAAGCGUGGGGAGCAAACA